rnacentral:rRNA from 1 species
UGGCGGCAGGCCUAACACAUGCAAGUCGAGCGGUAACAUUUCUAGCUUGCUAGAAGAUGACGAGCGGCGGACGGGUGAGUAACGCGUAGAAAUCUACCUAGUAGUGGGGGAUAGCCCAGAGAAAUUUGGAUUAAUACCGCAUACGCCCUACCGGGGGAAAGCGGGGGAGUCUUCGGACCUCGUGCUAUUAGAUGAGUCUGCGUCGGAUUAGCUUGUUGGUGAGGUAAUGGCUCACCAAGGCGACGAUCCGUAGCUGGUCUGAGAGGAUGACCAGCCACACUGGAACUGAGACACGGUCCAGACUCCUACGGGAGGCAGCAGUGGGGAAUAUUGCACAAUGGGCGCAAGCCUCGAUGCAGCCAUGCCGCGUGUGUGAAGAAGGCCUUAGGGUUGUAAAGCACUUUCAGCAGUGAGGAAAGGGGUGUCGUUAAUAGCGCCAUCCUGUGACGUUAACUGCAGAAGAAGGACCGGCUAACUCCGUG